GCCCGCAUGGCUUAGUGGUACAGCGUCGCACUCGUAACAAAAACGGUAAUGCGAAGAUCCCUGGUUCGAUUCCGGGUGUGGGCA
rnacentral:tRNA from 1 species